GAUGAACGCUGACAGAAUGCUUAACACAUGCAAGUCCACUUGAACUUCGGUUUGGGUGGCGGACGGGUGAGUAACGCGUAAAGAACUUGCCUCACAGAUAGGGACAACAUUUGGAAACGAAUGCUAAUACCUGAUAUUAUGAUUUUAGGGCAUCCUAGGAUUAUGAAAGCUAUAUGCGCUGUGAGAGAGCUUUGCGUCCCAUUAGCUAGUUGGAGAGGUAACGGCUCACCAAGGCGAUGAUGGGUAGCCGGCCUGAGAGGGUGAUCGGCCACAAGGGGACUGAGACACGGCCCUUACUCCUACGGGAGGCAGCAGUGGGGAAUAUUGGACAAUGGACCAAGAGUCUGAUCCAGCAAUUCUGUGUGCACGAUGAAGUUUUUCGGAAUGUAAAGUGCUUUCAGUUGGGAAGAAAAAAAUGACGGUACCAACAGAAGAAGUGACGGCUAAAUACGUG
rnacentral:rRNA from 1 species